ACAACUCUCCUCCUUUUUCAGACUUUAUAGUGUUUGGCAGAAAUUUGGGAGGAUUGCUUCUGGAAUUAUUUCUAGUUGAUAGUUCACUGGAAUGUACCCCAGACAGCAAUUUUGAUCCAAACCUGCAAAAAAUCACUGCAUGCAAAUACAAAUGUCAGUAAGGCAGGGUCGCAUGUUGAAUCCAGACCAGGGGAAAAGAAACCCACUGGGGCGGGACUGAUGAAACACCAUUCUGCAGUUUCACGUGCUGCGGAAAGACAAGUUGCUGUUCCUUCCUCCCUUACCCUCCGCCCAAGUCUGAUGCCUUUCAGCUGUAUAAACUUUACCAGUGAAGUAAACCGUGCCUAAAAGGAUUUCUGCCUUACUCAGUGUGCGGGAUGUGUUGCUUCUUGUUCGUGCUUGUUUUCCGUGCAGCCCGUUGGUUGAAGUCCAGCAGUCGGACGUGUGGAAGGGUCAGUCCAAAACUAUGGUAAAAGAGCUUGUGGCUUUAACAACUGCAAGGGAUGCAUCCAUCUCAUGACCAGCCUGGUGUGCAAGCUUCUUGUGCUGGGUUUGCACUGAUUUGAGGAUUCAGAGGGAUUCAGAGUUAUUGCUGCUUACCAGACAUUUUACGAACUUCUGCCUGUCUGUUCCCUGAACAAGGGGUAGUUUUCAGAAAGCUACCAAUCCAGCUGCUGUUUGGAAAAGCAACCGUAAAACACUUUUUAUUCCCCCCAAACCUAAAACCUUUUUGACCAACUGAAAGUCUGUUGAUCAAACCAUUAAAAAAAAUGGUAACUUCUUGCUGAGGAUUAA